GAUGAACGCUGGCGGCGUGCCUAAUACAUGCAAGUCGAGCGAAUGGAUUAAGAGCUUGCUCUUAUGAAGUUAGCGGCGGACGGGUGAGUAACACGUGGGUAACCUGCCCAUAAGACUGGGAUAACUCCGGGAAACCGGGGCUAAUACCGGAUAACAUUUUGAACCGCAUGGUUCGAAAUUGAAAGGCGGCUUCGGCUGUCACUUUUUGAUGGACCCGCGUCGAAUUAGCUAGUUGGUGAGGUAACGGCUCACCAAGGCAACGAUGCGUAGCCGACCUGAGAGGGUGAUCGGCCACACUGGGACUGAGACACGGCCCAGACUCCUACGGGAGGCAGCAGUAGGGAAUCUUCCGCAAUGGACGAAAGUCUGACGGAGCAACGCCGCGUGAGUGAUGAAGGCUUUCGGGUCGUAAAACUCUGUUGUUAGGGAAGAACAAGUGCUAGUUGAAUAAGCUGACACCUUGACGGUACCUAACCAGAAAGCCACGGCUAACUACGUGCCAGCAGCCGCCGUAA
rnacentral:rRNA from 1 species